rnacentral:rRNA from 1 species
GACGAACGCUGGCGGCGUGCUUAACACAUGCAAGUCGAACGGAAAGGCCCUGCUUUCAGGGUACUCGCGUGGCGAACGGGUGAGUAACACGCGGGUGAUCUGCCCUCCACUUCGGGUUAAGCCUGGUAAACUGGGUCUAAUACCGGCUAGGAGCCAUUUUUAGCGUGAUGGUUGGAUAGUGUUUUCGGUGUUUGAUGAGCUGGCGGCCUAGCAGCUUGUUGGUGGGGUGAUGGGCUACCAAGGCGGCGGCGGGUAGCCGGCCUGUGGGGGUGGACGGCCACAUUGGGACUGAGGGGAGGCCGAGGUAGCUACGGGAGGGAGAAGGGGGGAAGAUUGAACAAGGGGCGCAAGGCUGGUGAAGCGACGCCGCGUGGCGGAUGACGGCCUUAGGGGUGAAAAAUCCAUUCGCUAGGGACGAAGCUUUUUGUGACGGUACCUAGAUAAGAAGCACCGGCUAACUACGUG